UGGGGAAUCUUGCACAAUGGGCGAAAGCCUGAUGCAGCGACGCCGCGUGCGGGAUGAAGGCCUUCGGGUUGUAAACCGCUUUCAGCAGGGACGAGGCCGCAAGGUGACGGUACCUGCAGAAGAAGCCCCGGCUAACUACGUGCCAGCAGCCGCGGUAAUACGUAUGGGGCGAGCGUUGUCCGGAAUUAUUGGGCGUAAAGGGUACGUAGGCGGUCUAUUAAGUCAGGUGUGAAAGCGUGAGGCUUAACCUCAUUAAGCACUUGAAACUGAUAGACUUGAGUGAAGGAGAGGAAAGUGGAAUUCCUAGUGUAGCGGUGAAAUGCGUAGAUAUUAGGAGGAAUACCGGUGGCGAAGGCGACUUUCUGGACUUUUACUGACGCUCAGGUACGAAAGCGUGGGGAGCAAACAGG
rnacentral:rRNA from 1 species